UACAGGGGGGCAAGCGUUGUUCGGAAUUACUGGGCGUAAAGGGCUCGUAGGCGGCCAACUAAGUCACACGUGAAAUCCCCAGGCUUAACCUGGGAACUGCGUGUGAUACUGGAUGGCUUGAAUCCGGGAGAGGGAUGCGGAAUUCCAGGUGUAGCGGUGAAAUGCGUAGAUAUCUGGAGGAACACCGGUGGCGAAGGCGGCAUCCUGGACCGGUAUUGACGCUGAUGAGCGAAAGCCAGGGGAGCAAAACGGG
rnacentral:rRNA from 1 species